rnacentral:rRNA from 1 species
CACGUAGGGGGCAAGCGUUGUCCGGAUUUAUUGGGCGUAAAGAGCUCGUAGGCGGCUUAGUAAGUCGGGUGUGAAACCUCCAGGCUCAACCUGGAGACGCCACCCGAUACUGCUGUGGCUAGAGUCCGAUAGGGGAGCGUGGAAUUCCUGGUGUAGCGGUGAAAUGCGCAGAUAUCAGGAGGAACACCAGCGGCGAAGGCGGCGCUCUGGGCCGGUACUGACGCUGAGGAGCGAAAGCGUGGGGAGCAAACAGG